rnacentral:rRNA from 1 species
GACGAACGCUGGCGGCGUGCUUAACACAUGCAAGUCGAACGGAAAGGCCCUGCUUUUGUGGGGUGCUCGAGUGGCGAACGGGUGAGUAACACGUGAGUAACCUGCCCUUGACUUUGGGAUAACUUCAGGAAACUGGGGCUAAUACCGGAUAGGAGCUCCUGCUGCAUGGUGGGGGUUGGAAAGUUUAGGCGGUUGGGGAUGGACUGGCGGCUUAUCAGCUUGUUGGUGGGGUAGUUGCUUACCAAGGCUUUGACGGGUAGCCGGCCUGAGAGGGUGACCGGCGACAUGGGGACUGAGAGACGGCGCAGACUCCUACGGGAGGCAGCAGUGGGGAAUAUUGCACAAUGGGCGGAGGCCUGAUGCAGCAACGCUGCGUGCGGGAUGACGGCCUUCGGGUUGUAAAACGCUUUCGCCUGUGACGAAGCGUGAGUGACGGUAAUGGGUAAAGAAGCACCGGCUAACUACGUG